rnacentral:tRNA from 1 species
AGGGGAGUGAAGGCAAGCGGUCAAAGCCGGCAGCCUCUGAAGCUGCAGUACGUUGGUUCGAAUCCAACCUCCCCUGCCA